rnacentral:lncRNA from 1 species
GGAAGUUUUAACUUGUUUUUAUUUGAUUUUCUCAUUUACUUCGGUCUGAGUUAUUAGCGAGCUCUCAUUACAGUGGGAGAUUCCGCUGUUUACUUGUUGUGACACUUUCAAGUGGAGCAUAAAGGAGGUGGAUUAGGGAUCAGGGGUCAGGGGUCAGGUCACGACAACAGAAUUUUUUAUUCGAUUAUUAUUCUAGCUUAAGCGACUGUCUCUCCGUCUGUUCUUUUAAAGAUUCCCCGUCUCAUUGGACACUAAUCUCUCAGAUACGAUACCCGUUCCAGCAGCUCUGAAGUCAGGAGUCAGGAGUCAGGAAAGAUGGACAGACUGCACUUAAGGACACUCAGGACACACUAGACGCAGACUUGCCGUCUGCCAGAUGCGGCAGAUACAAAGAAUCCAGAGUCGAAACAAAAAGCGAAGGAAGCAACAAAAGAUUCGAUACAACAGAAAUGAUUUCCUCCGACGGAAGAGCGAAAUUGGCAAAAACGCGAAAGGGAGACGCAGAGCGGAGUCUAUUAGCGGACAAAGGACCCGCCGGCCGGAUAGUUUUAUGAUUUUGAUAGCAUGUGACAACAGGAUGCAUGUCCUGGAAGGGGCUGCCGCCUGGAGGCCAUCAGUUAUAGCCAAAGCAUCCAUUCGAGAUGGCUUUCCCAUCACGAGUUUUAUGUCUUUCCCAUUUGCGAUAGCCUAAUGGACGCCAAGAUACGAUGCGAGGCAAAUUAGAUGUGAAGUGGGAGCAUGGGGAGCACGGCACGGAAGACCGGAGAGCACCGGGAGUGGAAGGGCAGGCAAUUAGCCUGGACAAUUGAUGCUCAUCCUUAUCGGCGUAUACGGAGGAGAUUGAACUGCGCUGCCCUGGUAAUCGUCUACAAAAUUACAAGGGAUUAUCCCUGGGAUGAUGCUGCACGGCUCUGCUGUCUCGUAAUUGGCUUUAAAGUUCUCCAGUCUGAGAGCCGCAAACUUCUUAAGGACAUGUACUCGCACUUCCUUCAUGCGUGUGCGAUUUGCAUUCCCAUCCCGCGUUGCCUGCUGGCAAAUAUCCUGUGUGUGAACGAGUCGUAAAUCUUUUGGCGGUGCGUCUGCCCCUCCGCUGCGCUCCUGGCUGGCUGGCUGGCUGGCUGGCUGGCUGGCUGUCUGCCCCAUAAAUCAUAUGCAGCCAAGUAUCCGUAAGAGAUGAGACACGAGCCAAGCAGAUUCGAGCAUUUUUACGCUCUUGACGGGCGGAACUUCGUCCCACUCAGUUCUCGUCUGCUGGGAGCCACCAAACACUCUUCAAGUUUUCAAGCUUACCAACUGCUGUGUUAAAGGUUUCCAAUUGGAGGAACAGCUUGAACAGAUUUCAGUUGUGUUUAAACCCC